GGAGAUGGGACAUUGCUGGCACUGCUUCAUCAUUUAUGCAUUCAUUCAUACCCUAAAUACUUACUGACAAUUACUAUCCACCAUGCAAGUCUUCAAGUGCUGGGAACAACCAGCAUCAUUAUCCUGCAACAGUGUCACAAUCCAGAGAAGUCGUCACACAAAUAAAUACCAGUACCGUAGGACGGAAAGAACUGCAAUAUACAGAAUAUGGUGCUAGCAAGGCACGAUGAAGGGGGAUACCCAACCUUGGCUUCCACAUCAAGGUCAAGGGACAACAUAAUGCAAAUGCAGACACAGAAGAGGAGGGGAUACAGACACCUUGGAACAAGAGAUCCUCCCUACCCAUCCAGCUAAUCUGCCAUCUUAUCUGGAUAUCCAUGGGAUCUAAUGCUGUUAACAGAAAACUAAGAAACCAGAAAACAAGAGUUUCGUUAGACUACAAAUCAGACCUACAAUCAAUUCUCUAUCAAUUCAGGACAAACAAAUUUAAAAACAAAACAAAACAACCUGGAAAUGGACAUAAAAAAGCCAAAGUAAGGUUCUAGAUGAGGUAGAAGCAGAUAGUGGGGUACUCAUUUGCAUAGCUGGAGUAGAGUUUGCCUAUUUGAAUGUAAGAAAUACUACAAGUUGCUCCCGCCUGCCUGCCUCCAACACCAGUUCCCUAACUUGCAUUGUUUCUGACAGUCUGAAACCACAUUUAUAUUAUUGCUUUCUGCUAGACAUUCAUUUUUCAUUAAGUUCAAGAAUACCUAAACAUAUGAAACUUACAAGGAUAAGUACCUAGAGGUACAGAAAUAAGAUAAAUGCUGAAAAGGGAAACAAUUCACCUAUCAAUUUAGAAUAUCCAACCCAACAAGGUAGGAAAGAAGAGUGUCUGGGGUCCUUACUUGAAUUCAAGAAAAUUUACUUUACUGAAGACUAAAUAAAGAGCAACAUCCUAAACGGC